CCUGGUUGAUCCUGCCAGUAGUGAUAUGCUUGUCUCAAAGAUUAAGCCAUGCAAGUCUAAGUAUAAAUCAUUUUUACUGAUGAAACUGCGAACGGCUCAUUAAAUCAGUUAUAGUUUAUUUGAUGGUAUUGGGACUUGUCCCAACUACAUGGAUAACUGUAGUAACCUAGAGCUAAUACAUGCAAAUCAACCUAACUAGUAUUCGGAAAGGUUGGCACUUAUUAGAUAACAAACCAAUACCUUCGGGUUUUAAAUGGUGAAUCAUAAUAACUGAACAGAUCGCAUGGCCUUUGUGCCGGCGACGUUUCAUUCAAAUUUCUGCCCUAUCAACUAGAUGUUAGUAUAUAGGACUAACAUGGUUUUAACGGGUGACGGGGAAUUGGGGUUCGAUUCCGGAGAAGGAGCAUGAGAAACGGCUACUACUUCUAAGGAAAGCAGCAGGCGCGCAAAUUAUUCAAUGGAAACAAAUUUCCGAAAUAGUGACAAAAAAUAACAAUGUAUUGCACAAUGUGUGAUACAAUUGGAAUGAGUACAAUUUAAAACCCUUAACGAGUAACAAUUAGAGGGCAAGUCUGGUGCCAGCAGCCGCGGUAAUUCCAGCUCUAAUAGCGUAUAUUAAUAUUGUUGCAGUUAAAAAGCUCGUAGUUGAAACUUGAGUAUUUCUAUCAAGUUUGGUCUACCUUUUAAGGUUUUGACUACUUGAUGAUACUCUUCCUACUAGUAACUCGAUUAUGUUCUUAAUUGAAUGUAAUAGCUAUCUUUCGGGGUAGUCAAUCUAUGAGAAUAGCUCCACCAUACCAAUGGAUGUGUGUAAAAGCACUGAAAGAGGAUGAGUGGAUCAAGUUAAUCUUGUAGAUUGGAGUUCUAGUUCGUUUACUUUGAGAAAAUUAGAGUGUUUAAAGCAGCCUCUUGGGGCUCUGAAUACAUUAGCAUGGGAUAAUAGAAUAGGAUUUAAGUCACUAUAUUUGUUGGUUUGAAUGAACUUAAAUAAUGAUUAAUAGGGACAGUUGGGGGUAUUUAUAUUGGAUGGUUAGCGGUGAAAUGCAUGGAUCCAUUCAAGAUAAACUAAAGCGAAAGCAUUUACCAAGGAUGUUUUCAUUAAUCAAGAACGAAAGUUAAGGGAUCGAAGACGAUCAGAUACCGUCGUAGUCUUAACUAUAAACUAUGCCGACCAGGGAUAUGAGUUGUUAUGAAUAGUAUUUUAAUAGUAUUAUUCAACUUCCUCUUGUGGACCUUGUGAGAAAUCAUAAGUUUUUGGGUUCUGGGGGGAGUAUGGUCGCAAGGCUGAAACUUAA
rnacentral:rRNA from 1 species